AAACUCUGACCCAGCGACGCCGCGUGCGGGAUGAAGGCCUUCGGGUUGUAAACCGCUUUCAGCAGGGAAGAAGCGAAAGUGACGGUACCUGCAGAAGAAGCACCGGCUAACUAUGUGCCAGCAGCCGCGGUAAUACAUAGGGUGCAAGCGUUGUCCGGAAUUAUUGGGCGUAAAGAGCUCGUAGGUGGUUCGUCACGUCGGAUGUGAAACUCUGGGGCUUAACCCCAGACCUGCAUUCGAUACGGGCGAGCUUGAGUAUGGUAGGGGAGUCUGGAAUUCCUGGUGUAGCGGUGGAAUGCGCAGAUAUCAGGAGGAACACCAAUGGCGAAGGCAGGACUCUGGGCCAUUACUGACACUGAGGAGCGAAAGCGUGGGGAGCGAACAGGAUUAGAUACCCUGGUAGUCCACGCCGUAAACGGUGGGCACUAGUUGUGGGGACCUUCCACGGUCUCU
rnacentral:rRNA from 1 species